rnacentral:misc_RNA from 1 species
UUUCCGUAGGUGAACCUGCGGAAGGAUCAUUAACGAGUUAGGGUCUUCCAGGCCCGACCUCCCAACCCUAUGUUUAUUGAACCUCUGUUGCUUCGGUGGACCCGCCUCACGGCCGCCGGAGGACCGCUGCAAGGCGUCCUCUGGCCAGCGUCCGCCGAUGGCCAACCACUUAAACUCUGAAUGAAUCGUGUCAUAUGUCUAAGUCUAUGAUUAAAUUAAAGCAAAACUUUCAACAACGGAUCUCUUGGUUCUG